rnacentral:rRNA from 1 species
GACGAACCGUCCGAACGUUGUUCGGAAUCACUGGGCGUAAAGGGAGCGUAGGCGGCGUGGUAAGUCAGAUGUGAAAUCCCGGGGCUCAACCCCGGAACUGCAUCCGAUACUGCCAUGCUAGAGGAUUGGAGAGGUAGCUGGAAUUCUUGGUGUAGCAGUGAAAUGCGUGGAUAUCAAGAGGAACACUCGUGGCGAAAGCGAGCUACUGGACAAUUCCUGACGCUGAGGCUCGAAGGCUAGGGUAGCGAAAGGG